UACGAAGGGGGCUAGCGUUGUUCGGAAUCACUGGGCGUAAAGCGCACGUAGGUGGACUUUCAAGUCAGGGGUGAAAUCCCGGGGCUCAACCUCGGAACUGCCUUUGAUACUGUUGGUCUUGAGUCCGGAAGAGGUGAGUGGAAUUCCUAGUGUAGAGGUGAAAUUCGUAGAUAUUAGGAAGAACAUCGGUGGCGAAGGCGGCUCACUGGUCCGGUACUGACACUGAGGUGCGAAAGCGUGGGGAGCAAACAGG
rnacentral:rRNA from 1 species